GACGAACGCUGGCGGCGUGCCUAACACAUGCAAGUCGAACGGUGAAGGGGCCUGCUUUUGUGGGUCCUGGAUGAGUGGCGAACGGGUGAGUAACACGUGAGUAACCUGCCCCCUUCUUCUGGAUAACCGCAUGAAAGUGUGGCUAAUACGGGAUAUUCUGGGUCUGUCGCAUGGUGGGCCUGGGAAAGGUUUUUUCCGGUGGGGGAUGGGCUCGCGGCCUAUCAGCUUGUUGGUGGGGUGAUGGCCUACCAAGGCGGUGACGGGUAGCCGGCCUGAGAGGGUGGACGGUCACACUGGGACUGAGACACGGCCCAGACUCCUACGGGAGGCAGCAGUGGGAAAUAUUGCACAAUGGGCGCAAGCCUGAUGCAGCGACGCCGCGUGCGGGAUGGAGGCCUUCGGGUUGUAAACCGCUUCUAUAGGGGGGCAAGCUAUGCCUGUGUGGUGUGGUGAGUGGACUUUAUGAAUAAGCACCGGCUAACUACGUGCCAGCAGCCGCGGUAAUACGUAGGGUGCAAGCGUUGUCCGGAUUUAUUGGGCGUAAAGGGCUCGUAGGCGGUUUGUUGCGUCUGGUGUGAAAGCUUACUGCUUAACGGUAGGUUGCGCUGGAUACGGGCAGGCUUGAGUGCAGUAGGGGAGACUGGAAUUCUCGGUGUAACGGUGGAAUGUGUAGAUAUCGGGAAGAACACCUAUGGCGAAGGCAGGUCUCUGGGCUGUUACUGACGCUGAGGAGCGAAAGCGUGGGGAGCGAACAGGAUUAGAUACCCUGGUAGUCCACGCUGUAAACGUUGGGCACUAGGUGUGGGGGCCACCCGUGGUUUCUGCGCCGUAGCUAACGCUUUAAGUGCCCCGCCUGGGGAGUACGGCCGCAAGGCUAAAACUCAAAGGAAUUGACGGGGGCCCGCACAAGCGGCGGAGCAUGCGGAUUAAUUCGAUGCAACGCGAAGAACCUUACCAAGGCUUGACAUGCACGGCGGCACUGCAGAGAUGUGGUGGCAUUUAGUUGGUCGUGUGCAGGUGGUGCAUGGUUGUCGUCAGCUCGUGUCGUGAGAUGUUGGGUUAAGUCCCGCAACGAGCGCAACCCUUGCCCUAUGUUGCCAGCACGUGAUGGUGGGGACUCGUGGGGGACUGCCGGGGUUAACUCGGAGGAAGGUGGGGAUGACGUCAAAUCAUCAUGCCCCUUAUGUCUUGGGCUUCACGCAUGCUACAAUGGUUGGUACAGAGGGUUGCGAUAUCGUGAGGUGGAGCGAAUCCCUUAAAGCCAGUCUCAGUUCGGAUUGGGGUCUGCAACUCGACCCCAUGAAGGUGGAGUCGCUAGUAAUCGCAGAUCAGCAACGCUGCGGUGAAUACGUUCUCGGGCCUUGUACACACCGCCCGUCACGUCACGAAAGUUGGUAACACCCGAAGCCCAUGGCCUAACCGGUUUGCCGGGGGGAGUGGUCGAAGGUGGGAUUGGCGAUUGGGACG
rnacentral:rRNA from 1 species